AUGGACCAUGCCCCCGACGCAGCAAAGCCAUCUCACAGCACUGCCUACUGCUCACCUCAUCGACAUCAUUCAUACCCACGAACCACGAUGGAUAAGCACACGGCCCCCAUCCGCGCGGUCACGCUUCUCCUCCUCAUCAUAUGCCUCCUCGCUACCCAGGCGCGAUGCCAGACCAUGGACGACGGCGACGAGAAGAUCAGCUUGCCCUACGGGCUGUGCGUCUACGAUAAGAGGUCGUUUGCCUGCAAGGGCGAGCGCUGCUACUGUUGUCGCGUGGCCGUGGAAGUUUGCUAUUUGUCCAUGGACGAGUGCAUGACGGAGUGCGUCAAGAAAAUGGGGCCGCCGGCGGCUGUGGCAACGCCUCUCCGAUAG
rnacentral:rRNA from 1 species